UUCAAAAAAUAAAUAAAUAAUAACACAAUUUCUAAAAUAAUAUGUUAAAUUAAUGUUAGAAUCGGAAGAUAGGCCUAAUUCAACCCUACAAAACCGGCAACUACUUAUAAAUUGUUGUUCAAGCUAACUCACAUCCGAUGUGGAACUUCUUAACACACUUCUCAUGUCCAAUACUAUUGGACUUAGUGCGUGGAUAUAAAUAGCGAAUAGCUCGAUAGCGGAAACCUGAUAGCAGGUGACCCAAUG
rnacentral:lncRNA from 1 species